CGAACUUUGGAGUUCGUCCCAGAAUAGGGACGAACCAGGGGACGAAAUAAAAUUUGUCCCCAAAUUUGCCCUAAUUACAUCCCCGAUUAUUCCUCUUCCUUCUUGUCACGGGAGCUAACUUUUUCUUCCCUCUUUCACGCGAGCAGCCUCUUGUUCCUUCUUUUCACGCGCGGCGAGAGUGGACGUUGCUCUCCGGCCACGAUUCCACGCUCUCCGGUAGGUUAAUUUGUAUUUGACGUGGCUUGGAUAGACGCUCAUCUUUGUUCUUCUAUGUGAGGAAAAGGAGAACGAAGCAUGGAAGAAGGUGCAUGAAGCUCCCGGAGCAUGACGAUUAGUAUUUUAUUUUAUGCUUAGAUGUAUUUGUUAUUUGGAUUAUGAGUUGUUGAACCAAACUAGUUCUUGUUUUCAUGUGUAAAUAUGAUGUUUGUUGAAUUGAUAUAUUUGAAUGUUA